GUAAUGGUGUAAGGUGUAUGGUGCAAUGGUGUAAGGUGUAUGGUGUAAGGGGAAUGGUGUAAUGGUGUAUGAGGAAUGGUGUGAUUGUGUAACGUGUGAUCGGGAAUGGUGUGAAUGAUGGUGUACGACAUUUCAUUAGUUGAAAAUAAUGUUCUUUUUAUUUAUUUAUUUUUUUCAAAUUGUAAACAUAAACAAUAAUAAUAAUCUUAAUAUUUGAAAUUUAAUUGCAUUAUGGGUAAUUUCGGAUCGUGUAGAUAGAAUGGGUAAUGG
rnacentral:lncRNA from 1 species